GUGGAUUAGAUACCCGGGUAGUCCACGCCGUAAACGAUGAUCACUCGUCAUUGGCGAUAUACUGUCAGUGACCUAGCGAAAGCGUUAAGUGAUCCACCUGGGGAGUACGAUCGCAAGAUUGAAACUCAAAGGAAUUGACGGGGGCCCGCACAAGCGGUGGAGCAUGUGGUUUAAUUCGAUGAUACGCGAGGAACCUUACCAGGGCUCGAACGUGCGUUGACAGUCGCGGAAACGUGAUCUUCUUCGGACAACGUGCGAGGUGCUGCAUGGCUGUCGUCAGCU
rnacentral:rRNA from 1 species